rnacentral:rRNA from 1 species
UACGUAGGGUGCAAGCGUUGUCCGGAAUUAUUGGGCGUAAAGAGCUCGUAGGCGGUCUGUCGCGUCUGCUGUGAAAACUCGGGGCUUAACCCCGGGCCUGCAGUGGGUACGGGCAGACUAGAGUGCGGUAGGGGAGACUGGAAUUCCUGGUGUAGCGGUGAAAUGCGCAGAUAUCAGGAGGAACACCGGUGGCGAAGGCGGGUCUCUGGGCCGUAACUGACGCUGAGACGCGAAAGCGUGGGUAGCAAACAGG